UACGUAGGGUGCAAGCGUUGUCCGGAAUUAUUGGGCGUAAAGAGCUCGUAGGCGGUCUGUCGCGUCGGCUGUGAAAACCCGGGGCUCAACCCCGGGCCUGCAGUCGAUACGGGCAGACUAGAGUGCGGUAGGGGAGACUGGAAUUCCUGGUGUAGCAGUGAAAUGCGCAGAUAUCAGGAGGAACACCGGUGGCGAAGGCGGGUCUCUGGGCCGUAACUGACGCUGAGGAGCGAAAGCGUGGGAGCGAACAGG
rnacentral:rRNA from 1 species